rnacentral:lncRNA from 1 species
UUCACAAACAAAGUCUCAACAUCUUCACUCCCAGCCGCAUCCCUUCAUUACCGUUUAGCAUCCAUCAACAAAUUCCACGCGUCUCUCUUCCAACCUCCCCUAUUCCGAGAUCAUCUUUAUCUCGCGGAACAACCAAUCUCAUGCGUGCAUGGCCUCCGCAGCCCACAUCCUGUCCGUGAUCUUCCAUCCUCCCGUUCGCGUUGGCCUCUUCCGGAUCACUCCCAAACGGCACCAGCUCUCAUCUUCUUCCGGAUAACCUUCAUCACCCACGUAUUCCCUAUUGCUUCGGAACAGAGUCCGAGUCUUCAUCAAUACAAGCCACGUCCACGAAGAAACUCCUCUGUUCAUACUCGCAGCCGUUCGACCCACCUCCUAGAUUUCCCCAGCCGCAUCUCAACCGGAUGAGCUUCAUCCUUGCGAGCUUCACGGCAACCACACGUAUUCUUCCUCUAUUUCGGAAUAANN